AGUGAACGCUGGCGGUAGGCCUAACACAUGCAAGUCGAACGGCAGCACAAUAAGAGCUUGCUCUUACGGGUGGCGAGUGGCGGACGGGUGAGGAAUACAUCGGAAUCUACUUUUUCGUGGGGGAUAACGUAGGGAAACUUACGCUAAUACCGCAUACGACCUACGGGUGAAAGCAGGGGAUCUUCGGACCUUGCGCGAUUGAAUGAGCCGAUGUCGGAUUAGCUAGUUGGCGGGGUAAAGGCCCACCAAGGCGACGAUCCGUAGCUGGUCUGAGAGGAUGAUCAGCCACACUGGAACUGAGACACGGUCCAGACUCCUACGGGAGGCAGCAGUGGGGAAUAUUGGACAAUGGGCGCAAGCCUGAUCCAGCCAUACCGCGUGGGUGAAGAAGGCCUGCGGGUUGUAAAGCCCUUUUGUUGGGAAAGAAAAGCAGCAGGUUAAUACCCCGCUGUGCUGACGGUACCCAAAGAAUGAGCACCGGCUAACUUC
rnacentral:rRNA from 1 species